rnacentral:rRNA from 16 species
AGAGUUUGAUCAUGGCUCAGAUUGAACGCUGGCGGCAGGCCUAACACAUGCAAGUCGAGCGGUAGCACAGAGAGCUUGCUCUCGGGUGACGAGCGGCGGACGGGUGAGUAAUGUCUGGGAAACUGCCUGAUGGAGGGGGAUAACUACUGGAAACGGUAGCUAAUACCGCAUAACGUCGCAAGACCAAAGUGGGGGACCUUCGGGCCUCAUGCCAUCAGAUGUGCCCAGAUGGGAUUAGCUAGUAGGUGGGGUAACGGCUCACCUAGGCGACGAUCCCUAGCUGGUCUGAGAGGAUGACCAGCCACACUGGAACUGAGACACGGUCCAGACUCCUACGGGAGGCAGCAGUGGGGAAUAUUGCACAAUGGGCGCAAGCCUGAUGCAGCCAUGCCGCGUGUGUGAAGAAGGCCUUCGGGUUGUAAAGCACUUUCAGCGGGGAGGAAGGCGGUGAGGUUAAUAACCUCAUCGAUUGACGUUACCCGCAGAAGAAGCACCGGCUAACUCCGUGCCAGCAGCCGCGGUAAUACGGAGGGUGCAAGCGUUAAUCGGAAUUACUGGGCGUAAAGCGCACGCAGGCGGUCUGUCAAGUCGGAUGUGAAAUCCCCGGGCUCAACCUGGGAACUGCAUUCGAAACUGGCAGGCUAGAGUCUUGUAGAGGGGGGUAGAAUUCCAGGUGUAGCGGUGAAAUGCGUAGAGAUCUGGAGGAAUACCGGUGGCGAAGGCGGCCCCCUGGACAAAGACUGACGCUCAGGUGCGAAAGCGUGGGGAGCAAACAGGAUUAGAUACCCUGGUAGUCCACGCCGUAAACGAUGUCGAUUUGGAGGUUGUGCCCUUGAGGCGUGGCUUCCGGAGCUAACGCGUUAAAUCGACCGCCUGGGGAGUACGGCCGCAAGGUUAAAACUCAAAUGAAUUGACGGGGGCCCGCACAAGCGGUGGAGCAUGUGGUUUAAUUCGAUGCAACGCGAAGAACCUUACCUGGUCUUGACAUCCACAGAACUUUCCAGAGAUGGAUUGGUGCCUUCGGGAACUGUGAGACAGGUGCUGCAUGGCUGUCGUCAGCUCGUGUUGUGAAAUGUUGGGUUAAGUCCCGCAACGAGCGCAACCCUUAUCCUUUGUUGCCAGCGGUCCGGCCGGGAACUCAAAGGAGACUGCCAGUGAUAAACUGGAGGAAGGUGGGGAUGACGUCAAGUCAUCAUGGCCCUUACGACCAGGGCUACACACGUGCUACAAUGGCAUAUACAAAGAGAAGCGACCUCGCGAGAGCAAGCGGACCUCAUAAAGUAUGUCGUAGUCCGGAUUGGAGUCUGCAACUCGACUCCAUGAAGUCGGAAUCGCUAGUAAUCGUAGAUCAGAAUGCUACGGUGAAUACGUUCCCGGGCCUUGUACACACCGCCCGUCACACCAUGGGAGUGGGUUGCAAAAGAAGUAGGUAGCUUAACCUUCGGGAGGGCGCUUACCACUUUGUGAUUCAUGACUGGGGUGAAGUCGUAACAAGGUAACCGUAGGGGAACCUGCGGUUGGAUCACCU